rnacentral:rRNA from 1 species
CCUACGGGUGGCAGCAGUUAAGAAUCUUGCGCAAUGGGCGAAAGCCUGACGCAGCCAUGUCGCGUGAACGAUGAAGGUCUUCGGAUUGUAAAGUUUAUUAAACUGGGAAGAAUAAGCAUAGUAAAUCUAUGUGAUGACGGUACCAGUCUACAGCCCCGGCUAAACACGUGCCAGCAGCCGCGGUAAUACGUGUGGGGCAAGCGUUGUUCGGAAUUAUUGGGCGUAAAGGGCACGCAGGCGGAUUAUUAAGUUAGGUGUUUAAGAUUUGAGCUCAACUCAAAACCUGCAUCUAAUACUGAUAAUCUUGAGUUUUAGAGAGGAAAGUGGAAUUUUCGGUGUAGCGGUGGAAUGCGUAGAUAUCGAGAGGAACAUCAGUGGCGAAGGCGACUUUCUGGAUAAUAACUGACGCUGAGGUGCGAAAGUGUGGGUAGCAAACAGGAUUAGAUACCCUUGUAGUCC